rnacentral:rRNA from 1 species
UCGCCCUUGAGUUUGAUCAUGGCUCAGAAUGAACGUUGGUAGCGUGGAUUAGGCAUGCAAGUCGAGCGACAAGGUCUCUUCGGAGACUGGAGGAGCCGCAAACGGGGUAGUAAGGCAUCGGAACGUACCCUCUUGUCCAGGAUAGCCGUGGGAAACUGCGGUUAAUACUGGAUAAUCCCGAAAGGGCAAAGGUCCGCCGCGGGAGGAGCGGCCGAUGUGAUACCAGCUAGUUGGUGUGGUAAUGGCGCACCAAGGCAUAGACGUCUAGGGGGUGUGAGAGCAUGGCCCCCACCACUGGGACUGAGAUACUGCCCAGACACUUACGGGUGGCUGCAGUCGAGAAUCUUCGGCAAUGGGCGCAAGCCUGACCGAGCGACGCUACGUGCGGGAUGAAGGUUUUUUUUUUGUAAACCGCUGUCAGAGGGGAUGAAAGCGCAAGCUUGACAGAGCCUCAGAGGAAGCGCGGGCUAAGUUCGUGCCAGCAGCCGCGGUAC